rnacentral:misc_RNA from 1 species
GAUGAAAACGUAGCGAAAUGCGAUAAGUAAUGUGAAUUGCAGAAUUCAGUGAAUCAUCGAGUCUUUGAACGCACAUUGCGCCCCCUGGUAUUCCGGGGGGCAUGCCUGUCCGAGCGUCAUUGCCGCCCUCAAGCACGGCUUGUGUGUUGGCCCCCGCCCCCCGGCUUCGGGGGGCGGGCCCGAAAGGCAGCGGCGGCACCGCGUCCGGUCCUCGAGCGUAUGGGGCUUCGUCACCCGCUCUGUAGGCCCGGCCGGCGCCCGCCGGCGACCCCAAUCAAUCUUUCCAGGUUGACCUCGGAUCAGGUAGGGAUACCCGCUGAACUUAAGCAUAUCAAUAAGCGGAGGA